CUCUAUGUCACUCCUUCACAUGCACCCAAAGCACCACGCCAAACACCCUUGUCCAUCCCUCUUGUGGUGUUCCUGGUGCUGGGGGCUCUGCUCUUCCUACUGCUGGUGCUUCUGGCUGGACAGUUGUACCAGAACAGGGUUCUGAAGAGAGCCCUGUAUCAGGGGGGUCUCACCCCUCUGCAUGAGGCCAUUUAUGAAGAGAUAGAGUACAACUUGACCAGGGGAGAGACGUACAGAAACCCCAGAAAAGGAAGUGUCCUGUCUGAGGAUGUGCCCUCUGGGUAUG